AUUUAGGCGCUUCUUACUCUUUUUAGGCUUUUUCACUGCUCUGCUUCUCCCAUGAGAUGGUGAUCUCCUCUCUAGCUGGAUUUACUAUCAUGGAACAUCGGACAAAAUUUCCAGGUUUACUUGGACUACAAACAUGAAAUGAAACCAGCUAAGCACGUAGAAAAAAUCAAAGAGUUUGCAUAGUGUAGAUGAAGCUCUGUAGCAUGGAUGUCUCAUUCUCUGCAGGAAGAAAACCUUCAUCUAUGCCUUUCCAAAGAACCAAAGAAGGCAAAAGCAGAGAUGUAGGCUGUGGAAUGAAGUGGAGCUGCAGAAAAGACUUCUCAGAUAAAAAUGUGUAUCUGUUCUGUAUGAAUCUACUCAGAUUACCUGUGUGUGCAAGUGCAUUAAAAGCAAUUGAUUCAUCCAGAAUAGUUGUGAACUGUCUGUGUAACUCAAGCAAAUUAAACUGGAUGCGUUGGAUUAUUUUAUACACAAUGUACAAUUGAUUUAAUCAUUCACAGAGGCCGUUUUGUUGGGAUUUCUGGAUAUCUUGCAGCCUGGUUGGAGAGACUAUUGUCUGCCAGCAACAGCACAGCACCUUCUGAUGUCCUUGUCAAAGCUCUUAAAUUCACCAAAAAUAAGAUUUCCAAGUGGAUAGUUAUAAUUGCUAAAAUCAAGAUGUUCGGAGGCCUUAGAGCAAUGAAUGUAUUGAAGGAAAAUUGAAGAAAUUGAGGCCAAAAACUCUUUCAUGUCUUACUAGUAACAGAGGCAUUUGGAAGAUACUUCAUCUCUCCGUCGAACUCAACCAGGGUCAUGGCAUUUUCUUUUUCAUUUUUUAAUGAAAUUAAAAUUUGGCUUUGCCAUUAAAAAUACAGUUCUUUGGAUUGCCCUUGCAUCUGUUACU
rnacentral:lncRNA from 1 species